UACGGAGGGGGCUAGCGUUGCUCGGAAUGACUGGGCGUAGAGGGCGUGUAGGCGGUGGAUACAGUCCGGCGUGAAAUCCCUGGGCUCAACCUGGGGGCUGCGGUUGAUACGUGUUUGCUAGAGUGGGGAAGAGGGUCGUGGAAUUCCCAGUGUAGAGGUGAAAUUCGUAGAUAUUGGGAAGAACACCGGUGGCGAAGGCGGCGACCUGGUCCUUGACUGACGCUGAGGCGCGAAAGCGUGGGGAGCAAACAGG
rnacentral:rRNA from 1 species